GGCGAUGUAGCCAAGUGGUUACGGCGAUUGAUUCGAAAUCAAUUCCUCUUUGAGGGCAUAUGUUUAAAUCCUGCCAUCGUCG
rnacentral:tRNA from 1 species